rnacentral:rRNA from 1 species
GACAGAGGGGGCAAGCGUUGCUCGGAAGCACUGGGCGUAAAGGGCGCGUAGGCGGGAUGGCAAGUCGGUCGUGAAAUCCUUCGGCUCAACCGAAGAACGUCGGCCGAUACUGCCGUUCUUGAGGGAUGCAGAGGAGAUUGGAAUUCCCGGUGUAGCGGUGAAAUGUGUAGAGAUCGGGAGGAACACCGGUGGCGAAGGCGGGUCUCUGGGCAUCUCCUGACGCUGAGGCGCGAAAGCGUGGGGAGCAAACGGG